rnacentral:rRNA from 1 species
GACGAACGCUAGCGGCAGGCCUAACACAUGCAAGUCGAGGGGUAGAGGAAGCUUGCUUCCUUGAGACCGGCGCACGGGUGCGUAACGCGUAUGCAAUCUACCUUUUACAGAGGGAUAGCCCAGAGAAAUUUGGAUUAAUACCUCAUAGUAUCUUUGCCUGGCAUCGGGUGAUUAUUAAAGUUCCAACGGUAAAAGAUGAGCAUGCGUCCUAUUAGCUAGAUGGUAAGGUAACGGCUUACCAUGGCAACGAUAGGUAGGGGUCCUGAGAGGGAGAUCCCCCACACUGGUACUGAGACACGGACCAGACUCCUACGGGAGGCAGCAGUGAGGAAUAUUGGACAAUGGGCGCAAGCCUGAUCCAGCCAUGCCGCGUGCGGGAAGACGGUCCUAUGGAUUGUAAACUGCUUUUGUACGGGAAGAAACACUCCUACGUGUAGGAGCUUGACGGUACCGUAAGAAUAAGGAUCGGCUAACUCCGUGCCAGCCGCCGCGGUAAUAC